AAUCAUGAAGUUUCCAAGUUUUGCUAUCCUAGAUAUGAAAUAUUCAAUUCAACGAAUUUAGUCUUAAUCUCAAAAUAGUUAGGGUCUAUGGUAUAAAUCCAUUUCCUCCAUUCCUCUUGUGUAGGUAUGCACUUUUGAAGGACCUAGAGAUGUUAAAUCCUUUCAUACUACCUUAUCUCUUACAACUUCAAUUUUCCAACCUUCCAUACUAGUGCA
rnacentral:misc_RNA from 1 species